rnacentral:lncRNA from 1 species
AGGGUUUCUCCCCGCUGUGGAUUCUCUGGUGUCGGAUAAGCUGUGAAGAACACUUGAACGGUUUACCACAUUCUUUGCAUCUAUAGGGAAUCUCUUCAAAGUGGAUCUUCAUAUGCUGGAUCAAGUAGGAGGAGCAGUAGAAGGCCUUGCUGCACUCCUGACACUUGUAGGGCUUCUCUCCUGUGUGGAUUAUCUGGUGCCGGGUGAGGGUGGAACUGUUAUUGAAGGCCUUGCCGCACUCUGGGCAUUUGUAGGGCUUGGCGCCGGUAUGAAGUAUCUGGUGGCGGGUGAGGUUUGACUGAUACUUGAAGGUCUUGCCACACUCUCUGCAUUUGUAGGGCUUCUCUCCUGUGUGGAUUAUCUGGUGCCGACUGAGGGUCGAACUGUUAUUGAAGGCCUUGUCGCACUCUGGGCAUUUGUAGGGUUUGGCGCCGGUGUGAACAAUGUGGUGUCGGGUAAGGGUUGAUUGAUACCUGAACGCUUUCCCGCACUCUCUGCACUGAUAGGGCUUUUCUCCGGUGUGGAUGACCUGGUGUUGUGUAAGAGACGAGUGCUUACUGAAGGCCCUGCCACACUCGUCACACUUGUG